rnacentral:lncRNA from 1 species
UAAAGGCAAGAUAAUAGAAUCAGCUUAUAUUACCAUCACUGAUGAAUAGAUUUAUAACUAAUACAAAUGAGCAGGUACCCCUCUAGUAGGAUAUGAAUCUUUGAACAAUAUGCUGAGAAGUGUUGUAUCUGGGUCAUAAAGUAUUUCUAUGCUUGCUUCCACAUGGAUCCUCAUAGUUGCUAUUCCAGUUCACUCUCUUACACCAUCCAAGAUUUUAUAGUCUUUUAUGUACUUAACGUUAUCCAUUAUGACUAAUCAAUAGAUGAAAUGUUGAAAUACUAUCAAUUAUCAUAUUUUUAAUUAAAUAAUUAAUUAAUUUUUACACGCCAUAUUUUAUCCCACCAUCCAACCUCUGACUGUUUCAAAUCCUAUACCUCCUGACCACUCCCCUGUCUCCACAUGGAUGUCCCCGCCUGACAUCUAAACUUCCUGGGGCCUCCAGUCUCUUGAAAGUUAGGUACAUCAUCUCUGAAUGAACACAGACCCUAAAGACCUCUACUGUAUGUGCGUUGGGGUCUUCAUAUCAACUGGUAUAUACUGCCUGUCUGGUGGUUUAGGGUUUAAGAAAUGUCAGGGGUCCAGAUCAAUUGAGACUGCUGGUUAUCCAACAGUAUUCUCCUCAGCUUCUUCAGCCUUCCUCAAUUCAACAACAAGGGUCAACUGCUUCUGUCCAUGUGCAAACAUUUUUUAAUGACUAAGAAUGUUACAAACUCUUGAAGUUUAGAUUGGUCACUUUUAUAUUUCUUCUUUGAGAAAUCUCUUUUCCAUUUGUUACUUUAUUCUAUCAUUCUCUUUUUGUUAUUGGUUGUGUUUAUAUGUUUUUUAUGUUACAGAUACUGCUAAUAGUUCAGCAAAUUUUCUCCCAUGUUCAUGCUAUGUCGUCAUCAAGUUAAAGUAAUGAGGAUAUACUUGUCAAUUUUUU